UACGGGGGGAGCAAGCGUUGUUCGGAUUUACUGGGCGUAAAGGGCGCGUAGGCGGCCUCCGCAAGUCAGUUGUGAAAUCUCCGAGCUUAACUCGGAAAGGUCAACUGAUACUGCGGGGCUAGAGUGCGGAAGGGGCAACUGGAAUUCUUGGUGUAGCGGUGAAAUGCGUAGAUAUCAAGAGGAACACCUGCGGCGAAGGCGGCGACCUGGGUAGGUAACUGACGCUGAGGAGCGAAAGUGUGGGGAGCGAACAGGGAUU
rnacentral:rRNA from 1 species